UCCGUACCGCUGCGGACGGAAGGGCGCCUCUGCUUCGUACGCUCGGUGGUGGCCCA
rnacentral:pre_miRNA from 24 species